AAAAUGUCAUUAUCUCAAUCCUUUCCCCAAAAUUCAGAAAGAAGAAACGCCGCCUCUCUCCUCUCCCCUUCUCUGUUUCUCUCCCAUCUCCACCACCCCCGUCCAUCACUAACAGAAGCCACUUCACCAACUCCUGCACCCUGAAAAUCCGCGCAACAGUGAAGAGUCAGCACGAUUUUGGGGAUAAAGGUGUAAAAUUUUCAAAUUUCAUCUGGAUUUUGCUUUUUUCUUCAGUUUUGGUUUCAAAUCCGGAUGUUCAAGUCCGGAUUUGAUCCUAUAAAUAGGGUGUUCUUCAACCCUAGAAAAGGCAGAAAAAGAUUGAAAAAAAAAAAGGGAAAAAAGAUUGGGAAAAGGGGCUUUUAAAAAUCGGUGAAGAAACAAUUGGCGGAAGAAGCAAAGUUUUGUGAGGAAAUCUCUGAGUUCGGAGUCCUGAUCGAGUUCGCGGCUGGAAAAUACUUGACGUAGAAGCUCCAGUUUCGCUGCCCUAGAAAAGGUUUCUCUCAAGAACAAGCAAGGGUUUCUAUUGGGGAUUCAAAUUCAAGGAGGUUUCACCAUCAAUCUUCACGAAUUCAUGAACUAAGUGUGUUAAAGAAAUUCUCUGCCUCAUGAGAGGCAGUUAGCGUACCCAGAGGCUUAUGAUAUUGCUGAUAGGAUAAUCGACUUUGACUUAUACAAGAAUUUCAAGGAUAGAUACGAUGAUCUCAGUAAAUGAGCAUGAACUCCCAGUGGCGCAGGAUUUUAUUCAUUAGUUUUUGGGUUCCAAUGGGAUGAAGAAAUCAUAAUAUGUCAGAGGGGAGAGGUCAAAUCCACAUGGCAAGAUCUAGAUGGGACAAAGAGGAUUCUUGGAGUCAUUAACAUGGACGACAUACGUUAUUGGGCUAUUGAGAUACUACUCGAGGAGGGAAAGAUCAAGGUUUAUGACUGCAACUUACCUUCCUUGGACGAGGGCAAUUUUUUACCCACAUGCAGCCACUGUUGGAGUUGUUCCCCAUUUUGUUGAGGCAGAGUAAACUGAUGGAUUAAUUGCCAGUGAAAUUUUUUAUGAAACAACCAUAGGAUUUUGAAGGUCGAAAUAAGGACAUGUACCUUUCAAAAAAAUAAAACUGAUGCUGCAUGUGGGUUGUACGCGCUUGCACACAUCGAAUGUUUGUUGACCGACACAGAAAUGGUCGAGCCAAUGACCUUUUUGUACGACAAUGCCAUGGCAAACAUGCAAAAAGUCUGGGCUUAUAGGGUACUAACUGGACGCUUGGAGCCUAUGUAUUGAGAAGAGCUUGCGAAAUAACAAUUUUUAUUUCAUCACUUCACCUUACAUACGUAACUUUACAUAUAGUGAUAAUUUUUUGACAUUUUACAAUAAUUACGCUUGAA